rnacentral:snRNA from 1 species
GGAGGGAAGGGUGAUCUGGCUGCAACAUCUGCCACCCCGCUGAUGGCUAGGGUUGAUUCGUCGGAUCGGGCUGGUUAGGUGCGUGUCGCCAUCCUCCCUCAUCGCUCCAUGUGCGCCCCUCCAGACACUGCGGAUGACCUUCCCCAUCAGAGGAGGGCCGUGCUUUGGUCAAGGGCUAUGUGAGUAGCUGUACUCCUCUGCUAGAGCCUCCAAACAACCUCUCUCAAAGUAAUUAUUUCAAAGGAGGGCUUGAGAGUUUCAGCCUCUAUGACAAAGUUAAUUUUUCCUAAAAAAAUUUAAUAAUAAAGGUUGUCCUUA